UAACAAUGAUUUCCCUAGUAACGGCGAGUGAAGAGGAAAGAGCUCAAAGUUGGAACCUGUUUGGCCUAGCUAAACAGGAUUGUAAACUGUAGAAGUGUUUUCCAGGCAAUCCGAAUUAAUAAGUCCUUUGGAACAGGGCAUCAUAGAGGGUGAGAAUCCCGUCUUUGAUUCGAGAAAUUUGUCUUUUGUGAUACACUUUCAAAGAGUCAGGUUGUUUGGGAAUGCAGCCUAAAUUGGGUGGUAAAUCUCACCUAAAGCUAAAUAUUGGCGAGAAACCGAUAGCGAACAAGUACCGUGAGGGAAAGAUGAAAAGAACUUUGAAAAGAGAGUUAAACAGUAUGUGAAAUUGUUAAAAGGGAACCGUUUGGAGCCAGACUGGCUUGUCUGUAAUCAAUCUAGGCUUCGGCCUGGAUGCACUUGCAGACUAUGCCUGUCAACGACAAUUUGGUUUGAGGGAAAAAACUAGGGGAAAUGUAGCCAACCUCGGUUGGUGUUAUAGUCCCUUAGAAAAUACCUUGGACUGGAUUGAGGAACGCAGCGAAUGCUCUUGUGGCAARUCUUUCAGGAGGAUUUUCUAAUAUGACUGGGUUAAACCAGGACUUGAGGUUAAAACUUUUGUUUGUAUUUUUAUUCGCUUAGGUUGUUGACUUAAUGACUCUAAAUGA
rnacentral:rRNA from 1 species